AUGAACGCUGGCGGCGUGCCUAAUACAUGCAAGUCGAGCGAACGGACGAGAAGCUUGCUUCUCUGAUGUUAGCGGCGGACGGGUGAGUAACACGUGGAUAACCUACCUAUAAGACUGGGAUAACUUCGGAAAACCGGAGCUAAUACCGGAUAAUAUUUUGAACCGCAUGGUUCAAAAGUGAAAGACGGUCUUGCUGUCACUUAUAGAUGGAUCCGCGCUGCAUUAGCUAGUUGGUAAGGUAACGGCUUACCAAGGCAACGAUGCAUAGCCGACCUGAGAGGGUGAUCGGCCACACUGGAACUGAGACACGGUCCGGACUCCUACGGGAGGCAGCAGUAGGGAAUCUUCCGCAAUGGGCGAAAGCCUGACGGAGCAACGCCGCGUGAGUGAUGAAGGUCUUCGGAUCGUAAAACUCUGUUAUUAGGGAAGAACAUAUGUGUAAGUAACUGUGCACAUCUUGACGGUACCUAAUCAGAAAGCCACGGCUAACUACGUG
rnacentral:rRNA from 1 species